rnacentral:rRNA from 1 species
UACGUAGGAUGCGAGCGUUAAUCGGAAUUACUGGGCGUAAAGCGUGCGCAGGCGGUUCGCUAAGACAGAUGUGAAAUCCCCGGGCUUAACCUGGGAACUGCAUUUGUGACUGGCGGGCUAGAGUAUGGCAGAGGGGGGUAGAAUUCCACGUGUAGCAGUGAAAUGCGUAGAGAUGUGGAGGAAUACCGAUGGCGAAGGCAGCCCCCUGGGCCAAUACUGACGCUCAUGCACGAAAGCGUGGGGAGCAAACAGG